rnacentral:lncRNA from 12 species
AUGUUAGAGCUGCUGUUUGCACCUAAAUGCCCUGCUUUGAGAGCCCAAAUGAAACAGCAAUUGGAAAUCCAUCUACUGGUCAUGAAAUUGUCUAUAGUCUCUGAGGAUAAACUUUAUGCAAAUAUGAAGAUGGACAAUCAGGUAACCCUGCCAAACCUUCUGAAACACUGUUUCUAGCAUGAAGGGAAUAGUGCUGACAGAGAUUGGUUCCCAGUCCCGGCAGUAAGUUUCAAACAACAAAUAACAGCAAGGGGAGUCCAUGCCCCCUCACAGAUUAGUGGGUGACAGCCCUAGGAGCAGCCAGCACCGCUAGCUGCGAAAGAGGUGUCCAAGGAGGUAAGAGUCUAUGCUUUCAUUAGUGCUAACUGUACUUUUUUGUUUCUUGUUCCUUUCUUUGCUGCAAAUGUCAUUAAGUGUAAUGUCAUUAUUCUCGCAUACAUGACACUGUGGCAAAUGUAAAUUUCUCAUGACCACUUUUGGUGAGCUGUCUGCCUGUGAUCCUGAGACCUCAGCUUCAGUGUUGGGAAGCAUGCAGGUAUUCUCUGCAAAGACAGUGGCCUGAGAAAUAUGUGAGUGCAACAACUAGUAACCGGAAAGCUAAAUAUCACACCAUAUUAGAGGGGUUUAGAUGGGAAAGUAGGGAGGGACAGAACUGUUUUUACUGAAGAUUGAUCGUUGAAUUACAAAGGAAAAACAAUCAAUCGAUGUGACACCUGUAAAAGGAAAUAAAUUUGAUUUUUAAAUAGGACA